UGGGGAUUCCGAUCGACAAUGACGCGGAGUUGAUGUGGUGAGGGAGCGGCGAAUGGAGAAAGGAGAAGAGCGAUGUUUCAAAAACCGGGCCAUGGUAGUUCAUGAAGUCCAUGCGCGACGGUAACCGUGGACAAUGAUGGUGGCGAAGACACUUGACGAUGGCGUGGACGAUGGUUUAGGCGACGACGGUGUGGUGUGGGGUUAGGGUUUUUUUGUUUUGAAGAGGAUGGAGAGAAAUGAAGGAAAUGGGGAAGGGAAAGUGGGGGUUUGGUUGUUUUAAAAUUUUUUUCUUUUCUUCUUUUGUUUUUUUUAUGGCCGAUUGGGCCUUCUUGUCUAUUUUUUUCUUUACUUUGGGCCAGCUAGGGCGUUCGGCCCAAUUUUCUUUCUUUUCAUUUUUUUUCUUUUUCUCAUCUUGGGUUUGUUUGGGUGUUGGGCUUAUUUUGGGUUUAUUGUGUGGUUUGGGUUGGUAUUUGGGUAUGGGGUAGGCAGGUUAAAUGGGUUGGUGGUUGGGUAUUUGAUUUGGGUUUUAGGGUUUUUAUAAAGGUUAGGGAUAUUGGUAUUUUUAUUUGUAGGUAAAUAAUUGUCACCAUUUAGCAUGUCGUGCCCACGCUACCAUCAUUAUCUGAAUUUUGGAAAAUUCAUAACUCCAUUACGUUCUUGAAAACAUCAAAUUAACUGGAUUAAAUAAAAAUUU
rnacentral:lncRNA from 1 species